GGUCUCUUGGUCUAGUGGUUAUGACGCUCACUCAGCCCAGUUGUAUAACGUCUGUAAGAUGUCGAAAGGCAUUCUGACCAGACUUGUUGUACGAUGUGGUGGAAUUGUGAGAGACCGGCGUUCAAAUCGUCGAGAGGCUG